AUUGAACGCUGGCGGCAGGCCUAACACAUGCAAGUCGAGCGAGCGGCGGACGGGUGAGUAAUGUCUGGGAAACUGCCUGAUGGAGGGGGAUAACUACUGGAAACGGUAGCUAAUACCGCAUACCAUCAGAUGUGCCCAGAUGGGAUUAGCUAGUAGGUGGGUUAACGGCUAACCUAGGCGACGAUACCUAGCUGGUCUGCGAGGAUGAAAAGCCAAACUGGAACUGAGAAACGGUCCAGAAGCCUACGGGAGGGAGCAGUGGGGAAUAUUGCACAAUGGGCGCAAGCCUGAUGCACCCAUGCCGCGUGUGUGAAGAAGGCCUUCGGGUUGUAAAGCACUGUCAGCGGGGAGGCGUUACCCGCAGAAGAAGCACCGGCUAACUCCGUGCCAGCCGCCGCGGUAAUUC
rnacentral:rRNA from 1 species